CACCUCCCACCUUUACCUGUGUGGGGUUAUGUCACAACUAACUCUCACUCUCUCUCUCUCUCUCUCUCUCUCUCUCUCUCUCUCUCUCUCUGUCUCUCUGUUUCUCUUUUCGUCUUUGUUGCCCCCUUUGCCCCCUUCCCCCACAGUAAACCCCACAUGGAACUGUAUUGGCCUGGUGUGGUCUACCAGGAUGUGAGCCUCAAAUCUAGCACAAUAGUAAUAGCUUUGGGUUAUUUUUUUUUUCUGCCCACAGCCAGGGGUUAUAGAGGUGAAUGACUCCAAAGUCCAUCCGCAACAAGCUGACAGUCCAUGGGACUCUACGCCAACUGUGAUGGCAGAAGACAAGACAGGGGAAGGUCACACAAUAGGUGUGGCAGAUCAUCACACGGAUGGACUUGCCUGGAGCAAUGGAGCCCUCUCAGUACCCGCCUGCAUGGGAUUGUUUGCAGCUGCCUGCAGAGACCCAAGGAUCUCUCGCUGAACCUGGCCAUCAUUGAUUUAAUUG
rnacentral:lncRNA from 1 species